rnacentral:misc_RNA from 1 species
GAUGAAGAACGCAGCGAAUUGCGAUAAGUAAUGUGAAUUGCAGAAUUCAGUGAAUCAUCGAAUCUUUGAACGCACCUUGCACUCCUUGGUAUUCCGAGGAGUACGCCUGUUCGAGUGUUAUGAAGCUCUCAAAACGCAAUUGGCUUAAAACCUGAUUGUUGUUUUGGAUUUGAACUUUGCCGUGUUAUAACGGCUGGUUUUAAAAGUAUUAGCUGGUACUAGAAUGAAUUGGUUCUACUCAACGUGAUAAUUAUCUGAUCGUUGAGGACAUUCCUUUCACGAGGAAUGGCCAUAGUAAAUUCAAUGGACUGCUUCUAAUCUGGCUUUAAUUCUUUAUUGGAUUAACCACUUUUCAAAUCUGACCUCGAAUCAGGUGGGACUACCCGCUGAACUUAAGCAUAUCAAUAAGCGGAGGA